CCUCAGCGCGUGGCGCAGCACGAUGUUGCGGAACUUCACGCCCUUCAGGCGGGCGGUGCGGAUAUAUUGCGCGGUCAUUACCUCGGUCAUCGAGGCCCGCGUCAUCCGCGCGAUAUAGCCCACCCCGUAGAUCGAGAUCGUCGCCACCGGCAGGGCGAAAUUGUCGAAGGUGAU
rnacentral:ncRNA from 1 species